rnacentral:rRNA from 1 species
CGCUGGCGGCGUGCCUAACACAUGCAAGUCGAGCGGACCGAUAAUGAAAGCUUGCUGGAUUGAUCGGUAGCGGCGGACGGGUGAGUAACGCGUGAGCAAUCUGUCCUUCGACAGGGGGAUAAUACCGCGAAAGUGGUUCUAAUACCGCAUGAGACCACGGCAGGGCAUCCUGCGGGGGUCAAAGGAGCAAUCCGGUGAAGGGUGAGCUCGCGUCCGAUUAGAUAGUAGGUGAGGUAACGGCCCACCUAGUCGACGAUCGGUAGCCGACCUAAGAGGGUGAUCGGCCACAUUGGGACUGAGACACGGCCCAGACUCCUACGGGAGGCAGCAGUGGGGAAUAUUGGGCAAUGGGGGAAACCCUGAACCCCCAGCAACGCCGCGUGGAGGAAGAAGGUUUUCGGAUCGUAAACUCCUGUCCUGCAGGAAGAGGAGAAGACUGUACUGCAGGAGGAAGCCCCGGCUAACUACGUGCCAGCAGCGGC